GACGAACGCUGGCGGCGUGCCUAACACAUGCAAGUCGAGCGGGGUCCAUCCGGUAGCAAUACUGGGGAAGACCUAGCGGCGAACGGGUGAGUAACACGUGAGAAACCUGCCCCGAAGUCUGGGAUAACCCGAGGAAACUCGAGCUAAUACCGGAUGCCUUCUUCUGAUCGCAUGGUCGGAUGAAGAAAAGAUUUAUCGCUUCGGGAGGGUCUCGCGGCCUAUCAGCUAGUUGGCGGGGUAACGGCCCACCAAGGCGUCGACGGGUAGCUGGUCUGAGAGGACGAUCAGCCACACUGGGACUGAGACACGGCCCAGACUCCUACGGGAGGCAGCAGUGGGGAAUAUUGCGCAAUGGGCGAAAGCCUGACGCAGCAACGCCGCGUGC
rnacentral:rRNA from 1 species